rnacentral:rRNA from 1 species
UACAGAGGUCUCAAGCGUUUGUUCGGAUUCAUUGGGCGUAAAGGGUGCGUAGGCGGCGUGGUAAGUCGGGUGUGAAAUCUCGGAGCUUAACUCCGAAACUGCAUUCGAUACUGCCGUGCUUGAGGACUGGAGAGGAGACUGGAAUUUACGGUGUAGCGGUGAAAUGCGUAGAUAUCGUAAGGAAGACCAGUGGCGAAGGCGGGUCUCUGGACAGUUCCUGACGCUGAGCACAGAAGGCCAGGGGAGCGAACGGG